UACGAAGGGGGCGAGCGUUGUUCGGAAUUACUGGGCGUAAAGGGCGCGCAGGCGGCGGACCAAGUCAGGCGUGAAAGCCCCGGGCUCAACCUGGGAGGUGCGUCUGGGACUGGUUUGCUGGAGUUCGGGAGAGGAGCGUGGAAUUCCCAGUGUAGAGGUGAAAUUCGUAGAUAUUGGGAAGAACACCGGUGGCGAAGGCGGCGCUCUGGACCGAGACUGACGCUGAGGCGCGAAAGCGUGGGGAGCAAACGGG
rnacentral:rRNA from 1 species